rnacentral:rRNA from 1 species
GGUAAGGCCCUUCGGGGUACACGAGCGGCGAACGGGUGAGUAACACGUGAGCAAUCUGCCCUUCACUUUGGGAUAACUACCGGAAACGGUGGCUAAUACCGGAUACGACCGCUCCCGGCAUCGGGUGGUGGUGGAAAGUUCUGGCGGUGGAGGAUGAGCUCGCGGCCUAUCAGCUUGUUGGUGGGGUAAUGGCCUACCAAGGCGACGACUGGUAGCCGGCCUGAGAGGGUGACCGGCCACACUGGGACUGAGACACGGCCCACAUUCCUACGGGAGGCAGCAGUGGGGAAUAUUGGACAAUGGGCGAAAGCCUGAUCCAGCAACGCCGCGUGAGGGAUGACGGCCUUCGGGUUGUAAACCUCUUUCACCUGUGACGAAACGAAAGUGACGGUAGCAAGAGAAGAAGCACCGGCCAACUACGUGCCAACGCCGCGGUAAUACGUAGGGUGCGAGCGUCCUCCGGAAUUAUUGGGCGUACAGGGCUCGUAGGCGGUUUGUCACGUCGGGAGUGAAACUCGGGGCUUAACCCCGAGCCUGCUUCCCAUACGGGCUGACUAUAGGUAUGAGGGGAGACGGAAUUCUGGUGUUCGGUGAAUGCACAGAUUCAUGAGGACACCGGUGCGAAGGCGGUCUCUGGCAUUACUGAGCUGAGAGCGAUGUGGUGGAGCGAAAGGAUUCAUACCUGGAGUCCACCCGUAACGUGGGGCUAGUGUGGAUCAUCCCGAGUCCGUGCGAGCUACCAUUAGCGCCCGCUGGGAGACGCCCAGGCUAAAUCAAUGAUUGCAGCA